CGGUGCCAAGUUUCAAGUCAGAUAGGGGAAUUCCAGAACUGAUUGGCAUAUGACUGGUGGAUCCACAUUGCCAUGCUCCACACUUGCUGUCAGAGCCACAUACACGGAAACCUGCAGUGUCUUCAAGAUAAUCAUCCCCAUGUGGGACUUGGGAGACAUACCCAUCAUUUCAAGCAUGCUGUUCUGGCCACACACAUUGCAAUGAAGACAACAUGAAGUUAGCAGAUGUGAAAACUGAAUGGGAUUCGGAACAUAUCCCUCCAUCAUCAGUGACUGCCAUACAUACAACAGUCAGCCAGCUUCAUGUACACCACGGCAAACAACCAACUAUGAAAUAAGGCUGUACUCUCUCAGAUGGCUUUCCAGAGCAUCCCAUCUGCAAGGAAAAAUAAUAUCAUUUGGGCUCUUUUACAUGGCACAUAAAUAAUGUUGAGUAAUACGUUUAUAGUCUAUGGAAGAUUGCAGCAUUGCUGUCAGGCUUUUUAUCACUGUCAAGUGUGUGUGCACCCCUUUUAAGAAAGGAAAAACCAACACAGAAACAAACUGUGGUGCAUGGUUGUUUCA